GCAAUUUGUGGGAGCCUUUGACCACUGCCCCCCAGCAACUCGCAUUUGGAUUCGCGUUCUGGUUUCAAUAAGUCGUUCUACGGCUUUAGCAUAUUGGGCUGAUUUGGUUGUGCAUCGCAAUUGCUGAGCGUCAUAAAUUUCACUAACAGGAUUCCUUUCACCAUUGCUUUGGAAAUACGUGAAGGAGGCAAGUUGUACAUGCUGUACUUUGCCAAAGUUGGCAUCCAGGUGAAGGCCUUCACACCCAUCUCGUGGACUCUGCUUCUCUGCUGUCAAUAUGGAUGAAUAUUUGUUCACACAGAGUUACCAACCACAACCAUGGUUGUCAUAUUUGUCAAUUUUGACGCUGGCUGGUUUCAAACGCCAUGAAUCAUAAUGCCAAAUGGUACCAACGAUCCAAAAAAUACACAUGGUAAAAAAAAAUUCCUUAUGACUCAGUUUGUUUCGACUUAAUUGCUGACAAUUGCUGAACAAAGUGCUGACACAAAAGAACCCCCAAGUACAUGGCUUUAGAGUUUUACUGGAUAAAUCGUAAGUCCUCGAUAUUAUCUCGACCUGGUAUCUUCCGUCCCUCUGUACCUUAGUUGUAUAAGCCUAAGGAAAUUCGCUUACAGUUGAACUUUUCUCAGGAUUCCCACAAAAACAAAUAUCAACAAUCGUUGGAUUGUGGUGGAGCAGAAAGAAAAGUAUGAAUGUUUCAAUGUGCAUCUUUCUAGAUGUUUUUUCUGUGUACAGUCUCUGUGUACAGACUGCAAGAUUCUGCUUUGCAUAUCCAGCUUGAAUUGAACGAAAAUUUGUUCCUAACUGUAAACCAGUUGCAACGCAAGCAGGACUGUGCUAUGUAUGAAGGUGACUUUAGUCAUUCGGGGGUUCUCUAAUGAGGAACUCCACGUUUUGAGAAACAUAUCAA